CUCUGAUAUUCUUACUCAAUAUUCCUGUAAUUAUUGAGUAAACAAAGAACACAACAGUUAUUCUAAAUCUCUUUCAGGACCAAUGGUAGAAGAAUAUCUUGAAGGUUGUGGAUGUCACAGUUUCCUUUGACAUGUCAGGAACAGCCCAGGCUGAAGAGGAAAGGGCUUAGCCUCAAACAAGGGCAAGAAAGAACUGUUGAAUGCAGCCUGGCCCUGCAGACUCUGGUUCAGAGACAGUGUCUUCUCCAGUAGGGAGUUUGUGAUCCAUCCUGAGUCUUCAUAUUUCAGACAAACACCUGCUUACACUGGAAGGGAGCAAGCAAUUCCAAAAUAUCAGCAACUCCUCGCAUCCAAGAGUCACAUUCAGG
rnacentral:lncRNA from 1 species